AUGGAUGACCACAGUUCAGCUGCUUUCCACUGGACUGAAAGACUAGAGUGGAAAACUUGGUGCAAAGCAUUCUUCAGUGAAUUUCCCAAAUGUGACAUCCUGCUCAACAAUAACUCAAAGGUUUUUAACAGCUACAUCCUUGAGGGCAGAGAAAUGCCAGUGCUCAGCAUGCUUGAGUACAUUUUCUAUAAGAUGAUGGACAGGAUUGUUAGAAAACAAAGAGAAGCUAUUGAAAAGUGGGCAGGCCAGAGAAUAUGUCCCAAGAUCAAGAAGUUAGAUAAGAACACAGAGUUUGCUGCUAAUUGCCAUGUAACAGAAGCUGGCCAGCAAAUCUUCAGAGUUCAGUCUGGUAACAAUAGCUACACUGUGGACCUCUGCUUGUACAUAUGUGAUUGCAGGAGAUGGCAGUUAUCUAGAGUACCAUGUGGCCAUUCCAUAGCAUGUUGCAGGGAGGAGAGAAUUGACCCAGAGACACUGGUUCAUGAGUGCUAUACUGUUCAGACAUAUCUCAAAGCUUAUGGAUACACUCUUGUCCCUCUUGCAGACCCUAAGAAGUGGGAGAAACAUAAUGGCUAUAAGGUGUAUCCACCAGUGUUCACCAAACAGUUGGGUAGACCCAAGAAAAAUAGGAAGAAGACACCAGAGGAGAAGAUCAAGAAUGGUGUUAGGCUUUUGAACAAAAAAGGUGUUACAAUGCACUGCUCUAUUUGUGGGAGAGUUGAUCACAAUAGAAAGGGGCAUUACAGAUGGCAGGAGGCUCUCAUUGCAGAAGGGGUAGAGGUUGUUGAUGAGAACUAUGAUGACCCAACAUUUCUUCAGAACAUCUUCCCUAACCAGCCAGAUCCUUUACUGGAUCCAAUUGGCACACCAUUCAGUAUGGUCUACAACAUGACUCAGAGAGAGCUUGCAAGAAGAGCUCCUCAGAGGGUUCAUGGGCCACUGCCUAAGCAAUCUGCAUUUGUUGCUGCUGCUGGUGCUGCAAUACCUCAGCCAAGGAUCACUACAAAAAUGAACAUAGGUAGACAGACAAGGGCAACCACAGUAGCUGACAAAGGAGAAGGAUUUAGUAGGGGAAGAGGAAGAAAAAGACAAAGAAAUCCAGAUGCAGGCAGAGGAGCAACUACAGAGAGAGGAAGAGGGUCAAAUUCAGUUGCAGGCAGAGGAAGAGGGUCAAAUUCAGUUGUAGGCAGAGGAAGAGGGUCAAAUUCAGUUGCAUGCAGAGGAAGAGGAGCAAAUGCAAAUGCAGGUAGAGGAAGAGCAGCAAAUGCAAAUGCAAGGAGAGGAGAAGUUCCAUCUGCAGGGAUAGGAGAAGCAGCAAAUGCAAAUGCAUAUGCUUGA
rnacentral:rRNA from 1 species